CUUUACUCCACUUUGCAUUGUGCCCAAUACGAAAAAGCAACCUCUCAGACCUCUCUCAUCUAAGGGCUCCCUGCCCCCAAAAACGUUGAAGAACCCUGAUUUAGAGUGUUUACAUAAAAGUCACUUAACAUUUUAAUAGCUUUAGAUAUAAAGAAAGAAUACAAUUCUAAUAGUCACUUAUCACUUCAAAAUAUAUGAUUACAUACAAAUCUAUCCUCUAUUCCAGUGGUUCUCAAACUUUUUCAGUGUGCGCCCCCCCUUGUGUACUGUGCAUUCCUUCGCGGACCCCCAAAGAAAAUUUAUGACAAUAAAAUGUUUUAAACUUUACAUUUAUUAUUAAACAAAACAUUAAACUAUUCAAAGUAGUGCUUUAUUUUUUUCGUUUAAUUACACAGAAUUCAUGAUAAAUUAACGUAUUUUAUAAAAUGUCAUAAAACUGGGGGCCCCCUUGCACCAUCUCGUGGCCCCCAGUUUGAGAACCACUGCUCUAUUCAUUAUUACCAUAGCCCUACACACAGUACCCUGAUCACCAUGAUAUUUUGAUACACUAUACUUUGUUUCAUAAUAUUAAUUGUCAUGUACCCAGAUAGCAAAGUUUCUGGCACAAAUCUGGCUUACAUUGGGCAUUUAUGGCUAAAUUUAGGCUCUCUUUUGUUCACACCUUUGUGUGAAACAGCUUUCGGGGGAGUUGUGGGGUGAAGCUAGCCAGCCAAAAGCAAAAGGUACAUUUUUAGGCUGAGUCCUGGCUUAAGUGUGGUCUGCCAGAAAAUAGUAAAUAUAUGGCAGAGUUCUGGCUAAGGUUUGGUUGGUCAAAGAGUAAAAAAAACCACCAAAUAAAAUCAUAUUUACAAUUGAUUAAAACAUCAAAGUUAAUAUUUAAGGCAAUAAUAAAUAUGUUUAUAAAGACGAAAUGUAGAAAAUGUUAUUUUGGGCAGUUAAUCCAAAGGUGUCAAUGUGCAAUAUACAAACAAUGCAAUAAACAGAUAAAUUAAUAAUUCAGUCUGCACUAAUAUACAUCAAACAAAAGUAUUUUAAGUAUGUGUGCUUGUUUAAGUCUUUUUAGUUUUGUAUUUUAUUUUUUAUAAAUAAAUAAGACUUUCCAUUAAAUUGUGUUUACAAUUACGACUAACUAAUACUAAUGCUGCGUUCCAGGCAGGCUUUUAAACCCGUACUUUACGACUUCAAAACCACGACUCACGACCCUAUGCGUUCCAGGCAGCCUGUAACUCGUGUUUUUACAACCUUCUACCGGUGAAAGUGCACUGGAAUGGCAGUCAAACCCGUGACUUCCCACUCGUGAACGCGUACUAGAUCGAUGUACUCCCAGUUCAGAGUCGUGAGUCGUGGUUUUGAACUCGUGAGUUACGGGUUACCGGUUGCCUGGAACGCAGCAUAAUAUUUAUUGGUGCAAUUUCGUUUCUAAAACAAUGACAUAUAUUGCAAUGAAUCUUGGAAUUAGUAGUCAUUUAACCUCAACAGCGUUCAAUACGCCGUGGAAAAUGGACUACCUUUCCCAUAAUGCAACUGGUCAUGAUCAGGAACUUCCGCGAAAUUCAAACCCCCACUGUGUACUGGACGAAGGACACGCGAUCUUUUGUCUUGUGGAGUUUUAUAUAACACAGUAAGUAAGAGACGCAACAUGCAUGACGGGGAUGAUAAAAUAAUCAAUAAGAAGUUUGAAUCUUUAAAUGAAUGCUGAACCCCAAAGAAGCCAAACGAAGAUUAGAUGUUUUCUGUACCAAACCACAAAUCAACAUUUGCUGAAGUCAUGUACCACACUUUGUCAACAAUAAAUGUUGUUUCUGCCAUCUGGAUAAAGAAUAAUAUAUUACUGCCUCUUGGAGAACAGCCGGCCGUACUCCAGACAGAGACAAAGACAUGAGGACAUCUAUUGCUUUUAAGUCAUGUACCACACUUUGUCAACAAUGCAUGUUGUUCCUGCAAUCUGGAUGAAGAAUAAUAUAUUACUGCCUCUUGGGAAAACAGCAGACUGUACUCCAGACAGAGACAAAGACAUGAGGACAUCCAUUGCUUUUAAGUCCUAUACCAGACUAUGUUGUUCCAGCUGUCUGGGUAAAGACUGAUACAUUACUGCCUCUUGGAGAACAGCAAACCAUUCUCCAGACAGAGACAAAGACAUCAAAACAGAAAAUUAAGUACUUGAUCUUGGAUUGUUUGGAGUGAACGCUGGAAAAUAAUGAAGCAGGAAAUUAAAAUGCUUGACUAAAACAAUUUUUGUACUUGGCUGUAAGAAGUCCUUUGUGUGCACAGACAUGACUGGAGAUUAAAGUUACUAAAUGUUGCUUUUUUUCUAGCUGGUGACAUAACAUGGUAUUAUUUUCAAAUGUAUUUAUCUAAUACACAUUUGCACAUCUGUAAACAUUCAUUUUAUAUAGGAUGUUUUUUAUAUUUAACUAGUUGUUGUAUAUUGCUUUCUGUUAUUACAUCUGGGUUUUUUUUGCCUGUUUAUUGUUUAAAACAAUUAAGUUAAUGUUUCUCUGUUAGCUUUUACUUUGGCUAUUUCUUUGCUUUUAUUUGAUCCUUCUACUGUUAUUUGUUUAUUUGGCAGAACAUUUGACAUUUCAUUUAUUUUGCUGUUAUCUGAAAUUAUCCUUGUCACCAUCAAUAAAACUCUAUAUUUGCUUUAUAUCUGUGUUUUUCAAUUACACAUUUUACGGGAUAUAAAUAUAUUUUGGUCACUUUAUGGCUAUUUUCUGGGGCAUCUGGAUAAGUUGUGGGUGGGUUCUGGGGUAAAUAUGGUAAUUUUGGUUAUUUUCUGGGUUACAUUUGGGGCUUCUGGAAAAGUUGUGGGUAAGUUUGGGGAUAAAUGUGGUAAUUUGGGCUCUUUUUUGGUUGUUAUCUGGAGAUUCCGGGAGAGCUGUGGCUGAUUUCUCGAGGUGUGAAAGGGUUGCGGCUAAGUUAUGGUCUGCUUUCGGCUAGAUUCUGGAUUACUUAAGGCAAGCAGCUCUGGGACCAAUCAAGGACCGUAAGCCGUGGCGGCAUGUGUGCCAAAAGAACAGCCUGAACUCAGCCAUUUCUG